GGGGCCAUAGCUCAGCUGGGAGAGCGCUUGCAUGGCAUGCAAGAGGUCGGGAGUUCGAUCCUCCCUGGCUCCA
rnacentral:tRNA from 2 species